AAUUUUAAUAAAAUAAAAUAUUUUAUUGGGGUGAUAUUAAAAUUUAAAAAACUUUUAAUUUAUAAAAACAUUAAUUUAUGAAUUGUUGAUCCAUUAAUAAUGAUUAAAAAAUUAAGUUACUUUAGGGAUAACAGCGUAAUUUUUUUGGAGAGUUCAUAUCGAUAAAAAAGAUUGCGACCUCGAUGUUGGAUUAAGAUAUAAUUUUGGGUGUAGCCGUUCAAAUUUUAAGUCUGUUCGACUUUUAAAUUCUUACAUGAUCUGAGUUCAAACCGGUGUAAGCCAGGUUGGUUCUUAUCUUUAAAAAAUUAUAAUAUUUUAGCAC
rnacentral:sRNA from 1 species